UACGAAGGGGGGCUAGCGUUGCUCGGAAUCACUGGGCGUAAAGCGCACGUUAGGCGGCUUUUUAAGGUCAGGGGUGAAAUCCUGGAGCUCAACUCCAGACUGCCUUUGAUACUGAGAAGCUUGGAGUCCGGGAGAGGUGAGUGGAACUGCGAGUGUAGAGGUGGAAAUGCGUAGAUAUCUGGAGGAACACCGGUGGCGAAGGCGGCAGUCCUGGACCGGUAUUGACGCUGAGGCGCGGAAAGCUAGGGGAGCAAACGGGG
rnacentral:rRNA from 1 species